rnacentral:lncRNA from 1 species
GAAGCAGCUUUUUUCCAGGCAAAGACCUCGUGUACCAUGGCGUCCAGGAGGAUGGAAGUCCCAGGCAUGCAUGAGCUCCACAGAGUGAUGACAAAUGUUUGUUCAUCUGGGAAACUGCCUGAACUGGUAUAAGCCAAUCUCCAGGCACUGCCUUUCCCUGAUGUCCUGCUUCUUCUGUAACGGUCUGCAGAUGGGACAAAUGUGAGUUCCUGAACAUUUUUCACAUUUUAUGAGGCCAGGUGGGAGUAUGGUGCACCAAAUGUACCCAAUUGGGCCUGAACAGUUCAACACUUAGAAUUAAUACUGUUUUCUUUAUGUUUAUGCACAGUGAGUGGUUGGGUGAGGAUGAUUUUGACUGUUCAAAAGUCUGUGUUGACUAGCCUGUAAAACACAAAAUAUAACUGGAUAAAUGGAAUGAUAGACUCACAUAUGCAUGUUUUUUUUUGCUACAGGAAGUGCCUAUUACAAUGCAAAGAGAGACAGCUUAAGUAAGACACCGUGUAGAGCAAGGCUAUUGCACUUUCCCUGGAGCUCACAAGUUUUUAGUGAGAAGAGGAAGAAAAAAAAAGUUAGUUCUACAGUGUUUUGUCUCAAGUUUGCACAAUGCUAAUGCAAAUUCCGACCUACGCUAAGGCAAGGAAGUACAUGACCUUGCCCAAGCAGGGAAGAGAGCAUAGGAUCACAUCUCAAACCCUUGCUGGCCAAACACAAGGUCUCCAACAAGAGCAACAACGGUCAGCAUAUACUCAUAUACAUGCAAUCAUGUGUAUGGCCCAAACUGUACCUGUUCCGGGCUAGCUAUGGUAGUUAAAGAAGUAAAGAAGUCUGGGUAAAGGUAUGUACAAAACAAAAACAAAAACAAACAAAAAAAACAAUCAACAAAAAACAAUGAGAGUUUAAGAGUGUCAGGUUAUUGUCAGGAUUUUGUUACCUUUUUAUUAUGUUCAUGCUCCUGGGGAUUUAUUAAAUGGUAGGUAAAUGAAAAGGGAUAAGGAGGGAAACAAGGAGAACAAGGAAGCAUGAAAAGAGACACACUGUCUAUAUGCAUACAUCUAUAUACAAAUGCUCUCACACAAAGGACACAGGCUGAUCCUUUGGAUUUGUUUAGAUAUAUGCAUAUGUACAAGUGCUUAUAGGUAGGUAGUCACAUACAGACACAACAGAAACUGUUCAGAAAGGCGCAGCAGAGAGGCUACAAAACAGUCAUGACUUGACUUUACAGCUGCUCUGCAGGUCAGGCAGCUCACCUGUGACCAACCUGGCUAUGGGGCCCAAGUGGAAGUCUGCAAAUGUCUCUCAGAAAUACUAUACUUUCCCUGGCUUUUCCUGCUUGGUGCUCUUCUUACAGUCUGGGUGCUGCUUAACUUCUACAAAGUAAAUCAGCUCCAAAAUGACCAUUUUUAAUGUGUGUAAUCUGUCUACAGGGAGCCUGCAAAUACUAACUUCCUAUGCCUUUUUCUAUUCCUUCCUAUUCCUUUAAUUUCAAUUUGCCCCAAGUCUAGAGUGUGUGACAGCCUGGAGAGCUUGGCCCUGGGGUACAAAUGGCAGGACAUUUCUUAGCCAUGCCAGUCCUUCUCAUGUUCUUACCGUGACAUUUUAGCAAUCGAGGAACUAACUCUGUAACAAAUGUAUUGAAAGAAUAAAUUCACAAGAAAUAUAGCA